AAAAAAGGCAACAGUAGUAUACCGCUGUUCAAACUCAUAAAUCCAUGGACAAAAAACAAAAUCGGGGUAACAAACUAAAACUGAGGGAAACGCAUAAAUAUAAGAGGAGAACAACGACACAACACUACAAUGUAACUAACACACACAGAAACGGACCAAGCAUUAGACAAAAUCCCACGAGGAUAACAAAUAUAACAUCAAAACCAAAUACAUGAAUUUGGGAUAGACAAGUACCGUGACACGUCUUAUCGCAAUGUCAAUUUACACUAAAAAAUAAGAGAAAACAAACGGCGCAACAUUAAAUUGUAACACACAGAAACGAACUAUAAUAUAACAAUGGCCAUAUUCCUGACUUGGUACAGGACAUUUUUAAAGGAAAAAAAUGGUGGGUUGAACCUGGUUUUGUGGCAUGUCAAACCUCGCACUUUAAUGGCAAUGUUUAAUAUAACAUAGAAAUGACAACAUAAUAUUACAGGACUAUAAUACAAAUAAAUAGGAAAACGUAUUAGACAAAGAAACACA
rnacentral:lncRNA from 1 species